UCAUCUAUUUCAAAAACGAAGUUCUUUUUGGCACCAAUCAAAACUGUAAUAUCAAAAAUUCAGCAAAAAAAUCCCAAAAACAAAAUUCACAGUGAUUACAUUUACACAGAAUAAACAGUUAUAAAUAUUUCAUAACAGGGUGUUCCUCGCUGCAGACAUGAUGAUGCGGUAGACCAUGGGCAUCCCGAGAGCUGUGCUGAUGCUCCUUGCUGGGUUCUACUCACUUAUUGGAUUGGUUAGCGCGUACACGAAAAAAGUUAUAGUCGCCUGCAGAAGCCCGGUGGCCUGCAGCUAGUGACCACGUACCUGACAAUGGCCCAAACUGCCUUGCAACGCCUGUAUACGGUUUUAUUUGCAGUAUUCUCAAUAGUAAUCGUUGCCAUUUCGUGUUGUUGCAAGAAGAAAAUUCCCUGCUCUGGCAGAGCUCCUUGCAGACGUGGACCCUACAGGCACUAAUGACACGGCAAACUUUGAGCGUUGGGUUGGGAAAAGUGGCGAAGAGGGGGCUGCUUUUCCAAAAUGUUUUCGCGUUUCGGAAAUUUAUGGGUAGCAGACAUCUGGGAUAGCUUCUACUGCUGGAGACAGUUCAGGAGAAUGGAAAAAGUGGACAGCAACAUUGACGUGUGGCAGACGGGACAAAUAAAUGAGAUAGAACAAAAAUUGUUUGGAAACCCAGCGAUACGGCCCAUGCAGUUUGAGACUAUGUUCGAGCUACUGCAGUGACUACUCAACCACGAGACUUGAGGGGAGAUGGACUCAUGCGUUGCAAUGGCGAGUAACAUUAAAUAAUAUAGAAGUAAGUCUACGCCCCUUCAAAUGUUGUAAAGUAUAUGAUGUCGAUGGCAAGUCAUUGGGAUCGCCUACUCAUCAUCGUUUGCCUGUUGGCCGCGUGGUUGCUAGAAGUUACCUGCUGCGGUCAGAAACGUAUUACCUGCACUCCUACUAACCCGCCCUGCAAGAAAUAAUUGAUCUGCCGGUUUCCUGGCAAUGGACAAAGCCUUCAUCCAAGAGGUGGUGAUACUGCUGGUGACUCUGUUCCUCUCGUACCUGGAGACCUGUCUCGAGUGCUCCCCGCUGGACUACUUCUACUGCAACGACACGAGCCUGGUGAAGGAGUAGAUCUUCAGCAAUCCUGGCAUUUAUAUGUACCAACAAUAAUGGUGUUAUUAAACGAGUUCUUCCUGGUAUUCAUACAUAUCGCGUUGUCCGUGUUGGAGGUUACCCAGGGAUGCAAAUGCAAGCGGCGUAGGUUUCUGUGUCGCGACCGUAACUGCCGCCCCUGCCACCCAGAUAUUGGAUAUGAAUCAAGCACCGUCAAAGUGAUCGUGCCGAAGUAAUGUUGUUCAGGAAUUUUAUCAAACUGCUCCUGUUUGCUGCCUUGCUCAUUGGCAACGUGUUGGCCUGCAGGAAACAGAGCAACCUGACGAGUGACAAAGUUUGUUGUCGUAGGCCUAAUACAAUGCCAAAAGGAGGCAAGAAGAAGUGAGUUAAUGAAGUUUGAAAACGUACAACUAAAGAUAUUGGUGCAACGUAACGCUGUGUAUUCGCUUCUUGUUGUAUGUACGAGUCGUCCGUAUCUACCUAUCUAUUAUCUGCACAUGUUGAGGACUGAGCUAUCCCAUUGAGAUGUUUCAGGAUGAGGUUCGGCCAGGCGUGCGUGCUGCUGGUGCAGCUGGGCGCCGUGGUGUUGGCCUACUGCCGCCACAGGACCUACACCGAUAUACCGGGCUACUGCAACGCAGACCAUAUUGAACUCAUUUAUCCUAAAAAGAAAUUAUGACAACCGUUUCAUCCGUGUCGCAAGACGUCAAACAAAAUCAAUGGUUUGUAGAUAGCAAUAGAAUAGUAACCGAAUUUAUUUAUUUAAUUAUUUUAACUAAAUGACCAAUAUUUAUGUAACUUUAUAUAAACAAACUUUUUUAAUA